CAAGUUUGAGGAUGAUUAUAAUCAAACACGAGUAUAACAAGUGUUUGCAACAGUAUAAUAGCAAACUGCAACGUGAUGUUAACAAAAUGGAUGAGUCCCGGAAACGAGCAGAAAAUGAGAAGCUGACUAUAGUAGAGAACCUUAGCAACUUGAGGGGUUUCAAGAAGGCAUUAGGAGAUCAAUUGGCUUCACUUAAAGAUUCAUCACAUAUUUCAGUCUAAUGCUUUGAGAACUGCUGUUGCAUGGGUUUUCCCAGUUUUAGACUAAUUGACUUUACUGGCGUCUUGCAUGUAGGCUUCACAUGAUGAUGCUUUGAAGCAAAAGGAAUGUCUUCGAGGGCAAUUGCAAGAGGUUAGAGAUGACCAUGAUCACCAUGUAAAAGAGAAUCAUGAUUUGAAGGUUGAAGUUGUGAGACACAUGAAUGAGCAGUCGUCGAGAAGCCACCUUGUGUUCACAUUGCGUAUUUCUGGUAUCAAUGAGAAUCCUGAACAGCUAGUUCAAGGGGUCGUAAACCUGAUUGAACUUGCUGGAGGUGAGCAUUUAUCAAGAAGUGGUGCAACUGGAGACCGUUUGAAGGAAACUCAGGUUAUUAACAAAAGUCUUUCAUCCUAAAGCGAUGUGAUAUUUGCUCCGGCAAAGAAGGACUAUCAUGUUCCUUUUAGGAAUUCAAAGCUCACCUAUAUUCUCCAGUCUUGUUUGGGAGGGGACUUGAAGAUCCUCAUGUCUGUCAAUGUCUCACCAGAUUCUACAUCAGUAGGAGAAUCUCUGUUCGCUCUGGUUUGCGCACAGGGUAAAUGCCUGCGAAAUUGGGGUUCCUUGGCGCCAGACAACUGCACGUCCUACUUCAGAUUCUCGCUUGACUUACGGCUGAUGAGGGCAAGGUCGUCAUGGGUACGUGGGUAGUUUCGUAUUGGGUUUGUAUUAUUGACCUGCAGAUCUUUCUGCUUCAACCUUCUUCUACUAAUUUGUACUUCUAGAUCCAUAGUGAGAGACUGAAUUUAAAUGUGAUACGAAUGAGAUAUAAAUGGUAGUUACAAUGUGCUAAACAUUAA